UGAAUACAUUGACAGACUUUUCAAUAUAGUAAGACCAAGAUGACUUCUCUACAUGGCAAUAGAUGGAGUGGAACCACGUGCUAAAAUGAACCAGCAGCGUUCGAGGAGGUUCAGAGCAUCAAAGGAAGGAAUGGAAGCAGCAGUAGAGAAGCAGCGAGUCAGGGAAGAAAUACUGGCAAAAGGUGGCUUUCUUCCUCCAGAAGAAAUAAAAGAAAGAUUUGACAGCAACUAUGUUACACCAG